UACAGAGGUCUCAAGCGUUGUUCGGAUUCAUUGGGCGUAAAGGGUGCGUAGGCGGUCGCGUAAGUCAGGUGUGAAAUCCCGGGGCUCAACCCCGGAACUGCAUUUGAUACUGCGUGGCUCGGGUACUGGAGAGGAGACUGGAAUUUACGGUGUAGCAGUGAAAUGCGUAGAUAUCGUAAGGAAGACCAGUGGCGAAGGCGAGUCUCUGGACAGUUACCGACGCUGAGGCACGAAGGUCAGGGGAGCAAACGGG
rnacentral:rRNA from 1 species